GACGAACGCUGGCGGCGUGCUUAACACAUGCAAGUCGAACGGAAAGGCCCUGCUUUUGUGGGGUGCUCGAGUGGCGAACGGGUGAGUAACACGUGAGUAACCUGCCCUUGACUUUGGUAUAACUUCAGGAAACUGGGGCUAAUACCGGAUAGGAGCUCCUGCUGCAUGGUGGGGGUUGGAAAGUUUCGGCGGGUGGGGAUGGACUCGCGGCUUAUCAGCUUGUUGGUGGGGUAGUGGCUUACCAAGGCUUUGACGGGUAGCCGGCACGAGAGGGUGACCGGGCACAAUGGGACUGAGAGACGGCCCAGACUCCUACGGGAGGCAGCAGUGGGGAAUAUUGCACAAUGGGCGGAAGCCUGAUGCAGCAACGCCGCGUGCGGGAUGACGGCCUUCGGGUUGUAAACCGCUUUCGCCUGUGACGAAGCGUGAGUGACGGUAAUGGGUAAAGAAGCACCGGCUAACUACGUG
rnacentral:rRNA from 1 species